AACGCAUCUUGCGCUCCUUGGUAUUCCGAGGAGCAUGCCUGUUUGAGUGUCGUGAAUCACUCUCAAUCUCAAAUAUGUUUACAUGUUUGAUAUUGGAUUUGGGUGCUGCCGUGUUUCCACGGACUCAUCCCUAAAUGUAUUAGCGAUCUGCCCCCGAUCACACACAAUGUGAUAAGUUUUUAAGCAUUGUUAUUGAUCCGGUGAAAGGUGGCUUCUAACCGUCGUCACAGACAAACUUGUAUGUACAUAUAUGCGCAUACAUGUCAUUUGACCUCAAAUCAGGCAGGACUACCCGCUGAACUUAA
rnacentral:misc_RNA from 1 species